AUAAGAGGCGAUGCCUCGUCCUCCUACCCAACUCCUAUUCCGGCACGUCCACGUCGUGCAGAGCGGUAACAUGCGUUACUAGGGGUGCAAGAGUCCACAGUGGCUCUUUUUGCUGCACUAGUUGCGGCAGAUGGUAACGCAUGGCUAAGCCGGAAAGGGGGAGACAGGCCAACAAAUUAGUGCUGGAAAUUUGUUGGUUCUGGCUUUUGUAAAUAGUGUAAAGUCCACAGCUCCUGCUGUAGGAAGUAGUGAGGCUCAGCAUCCCGGCCUUACCUUCAACGGCAAAUGAAAAAACAGCGGAGCUGAUCAAUACAAAUUAUUUUCAAACUGUUCCAUGUGUUCUGGAGCGUACAAUUUUAAUCAUUGGAGAAGUACAACAAAACACCAGUCCCAAUGGCCAGCAAUUUGUUCGGGGUUUGAGGAACAUAAUCUUCACCAGUGAAGCGAUCGAUGUUUAAGAUCUAAAGCUGAGAGCAAAUUGAAGACAUUCUGCACUGGAUUUGUAACCUUUUCAAGAAUCGAUCUCCCUACCCUUUGAUACAAGCUUUGCCUUCAACUAGUACUGCUUUAAGCUAUAAUCAAUGAAAUAUGGACACUUUCGAUCCAUGACUUUGAUUAUCACCAAACAGCCCAACCAUUCAACGACUACCGGCUUCAAAAGAUCAACCUAAAUGCGAUCAACCAUCUGUCCUCAACCAUCUAAACAUUACAAUCAACUCUGCAAUUCAACAAUCAAUCGGCAAACCGAUCAACCCGCAACAAUCAGCUUAGUUGUGAUAAGGUAUAAUGGUACCCUGCUCAUAAAAAGCAACUUAUACUCUGCUGCUUCGGGCGACAACAAAAAUGUAAUGGCGAUGAUUAGAUUAGGUAGGGUUGGGGUUUUAAAUUAAAUUUAUGUUUAUUAUUUAGAGCAUCUCAAUAUAGCUUUAAGUAUAUCGAAA